AAAAGUAGAGGUUGCGCAGCUUAAGAGUAUGCCGCCGGAUGCCGCAGGGGCGUGGGAAGACGGAGGAAAGGAUGCUGCGCCGAAGGAUUUUUCGCCGCCUGCGGGAGGAGAUCCUGGGCACACGGUUAAGAGCCGUGUGACUGUCAUCCCGGCGGAUGGAGUGCUACUGA
rnacentral:ncRNA from 1 species